rnacentral:rRNA from 1 species
UACGAAGGGGGCUAGCGUUGUUCGGAAUUAUUGGGCGUAAAGAGCUCGUAGGCGGUGUGUCGCGUCGGCCGUGAAAACCUGUGGCUUAACUAUGGGCUUGCGGUCGAUACGGGCAUCACUGGAGUUCGGCAGGGGAGACUGGAAUUCCUGGUGUAGCGGUGAAAUGCGCAGAUAUCAGGAGGAACACCGGUGGCGAAGGCGGGUCUCUGGGCCGAUACUGACGCUGAGGAGCGAAAGCGUGGGGAGCGAACAGG